GUCGGUAAAACUCGUGCCAGCCACCGCGGUUAUACGAGAGGCCCGAGUUGAUAACACACGGCGUAAAGAGUGGUUAAAUCAAUAUAUAUAACUAAAGCCGAACAACUUCACUACUGUUAUACGUUUUCGAAGCCCUGAAGCUCUAUUACGAAAGUAGCUUUAACAAUGUUGACUCCACGAAAGCUAGGGAACAAACUGGGAUUAGAUACCCCACUAUG
rnacentral:rRNA from 1 species